rnacentral:rRNA from 1 species
GAUGAACGCUGGCGGCGUGCUUAACACAUGCAAGUCGAACGGAAAGGCCCUGCUUUUGUGGGGUGCUCGAGUGGCGAACGGGUGAGUAACACGUGAGUAACCUGUCCUUGACUUUGGGAUAACUUCAGGAAACUGGGGCUAAUAUCGGAUAGGAGCUCUUGCUGCAUGGUGGGGGUUGGAAAGUUUCGGCGGUUGGGGAUGGACUCGCGGCUUAUCAGCUUGUUGGUGGGGUAGUGGCAUACCAAGGCUGUGACGGAUAGCCGGCCUGAGAGGGCGACCAGCCACAUUGGGACUAAGAGACGGCCCAGACUGCUACGGUAGGCAGCGGUCGGGAAUAUUACACAGUAGGCGGGAGCCUGAUACGACGGCGCCGCGUUCGGAAUGACGGCCUUCUGGUUAUGAACCGCUGUCGCCGUUGACGAAGCGGGAGUGACGGUAAUGAGUAAAGAAGCACCGGCUAACUACGUG